rnacentral:rRNA from 1 species
GACGAACGCUGGCGGCGUGCCUAAUACAUGCAAGUCGAACGCAGUGGGGACGGGUGAGUAACACGUGGGUAACCUCCCAUCAGAGGGGAUAACACUUGGAAACAGGUGCUAAACCGAUACUGGUGGUUGGACCCGCGGUGGAUUAGCUAGUUGGUGAGGUAACGGCACACCAAGGCCACGAUGGAUAGCCGACCUGAGAGGGUGUGCGGCCACACUGGGACUGAGAAACGGCCCAGAACCCUACGGGAGGCAGCAGUAGGGAAUCGUCGGCAAUGGACGAAAGGGUGACCGAGCAACGCCGGGGGAGUGAAGAAGGUUUUCGGAUCGUAAAACCCUGUUGUUAGAAAAGCGGUAUCUAACCAGAAAGCCACGGCUAACUACGUGCCAGCAGCCGCGGUAAUG